rnacentral:rRNA from 1 species
CCUGAUGCAGCAACGCCGCGUGAGGGAUGACGGCCUUCGGGUUGUAAACCUCUUUUAGCAGGGAAGAAGCGAAAGUGACGGUACCUGCAGAAAAAGCGCCGGCUAACUACGUGCCAGCAGCCGCGGUAAUACGUAGGGCGCAAGCGUUAUCCGGAAUUAUUGGGCGUAAAGAGCUCGUAGGCGGUCUGUCGCGUCUGCUGUGAAAUCCCGAGGCUCAACCUCGGGUCUGCAGUGGGUACGGGCAGACUAGAGUGCGGUAGGGGAGAUUGGAAUUCCUGGUGUAGCGGUGGAAUGCGCAGAUAUCAGGAGGAACACCGAUGGCGAAGGCAGAUCUCUGGGCCGUAACUGACGCUGAGGAGCGAAAGGGUGGGGAGCAAACAGGCUUAGAUACCCUGGUAGUCCACCCCGUAAACGUUGGGAACUAGUUGUGGGGUCCAUUCCACGGAUUCCGUGACGCAGCUAACGCAUUAAGUUCCCCGCCUGGGGAGUACGGCCGCAAGGCUAAAACUCAAAGGAAUUGACGGGGACCCGCACAAGCGACGGAGCAUGCGGAUUAAUUCGAUGCAACGCGAAGAACCUUACCAAGGCUUGACAUAUACGAGAACGGGCUAGAAAUAGUCAACUCUUUGGACACUC